AAUGAGGCCUAGGCUAACAAGUAGAGUGAGAUAAAUAGUGAGCUGAACACAAGUGAGGCAAAAGAGGAGGAGGUGUUUUAGAGAAGAGGAAUAUGCAGAGGUAAGGAAGAGUAGAACGCUUUGCUGAACUACAACACUCAGGAGCUUAUUCUCUGAUUCUGUCUCCUCCCCACCUGCCAAGGUGAGACCAGGGAUGUUGCUAAAUCAAUUUUGCUAUUAUAUGAACCAACAUAUUGAGUACAUCCUGUAUGUCAAGUGUGGUGCCAAGAUGUAAGAAUACGUUUCAGAGGUUCCAAGAUGGCCAAAUAGGAAUAGCUCCAGUCUACAGCUCCCAGC
rnacentral:lncRNA from 1 species